rnacentral:lncRNA from 1 species
CCAAAGUCUCCCUGGGUCCAGCCCAAAAUGAGGGAGAGAGGCACACUCUAGAAGGUGCCAUCUAUCAUCAUCUGCCUGACAUGCCUAGGCUAAAGAGAUGUGAGAAGCAGAAUUUCACAAAACACGAGCUACAUCGCCUCAUCUCAUCACUUCCUGACCGGCCAGCGGAAGCCAUGUGCACACAUCUCCAAACACAGGCACCCAGUCAACCUCCUCAGAUGCAAAGGAUCCAUUUUCUUUGAGAAGUGGAAGGAGGAAGUAGAGGUGUGACCAAGGAGGAAGUAGAGUUCUGAAGUCAGAAGAUCUGAUGAUUUUCAGAAGUCUUGUCUCUGCUUUGCCUGGACACUGGGCUGAUGGUGAUGCUGUGUGAACAUGACCACAAAGCAAGUUGUCUUUAUAAAU